GGCCGGAUGACCGAGUGGUUAAGGUGUCAGAUUUAAGCCGACUGUCACGUGAUAAGGUCACCUGACCGCGUAAAUCCUGAUGGGUCUACACCCGCGCGAGUUCGAUCCUCGCUUCGGCCA